AAAUAGCCUGACAAUGAAAGAUAUUUUGGUAGCCUCCUUGCAACCUGGGUACAAUUCUUUCUUCGCUUCUUGCAUUAAGUUGAAGAAUUUCUUUGCAGAUUCAUUUGGCUCCUCCUUAUCACCACUUCCUGUUAUUUUUCCAUCUAUAGCACCACUGAUUAGUGAUGUAAGAAGAUCUUUGGUAGAGCCUGAAUCGUCUCGUGCUUCGGCUUCAUUGAAGUCACAAUCAUCAUCCAUAGGUUCAGCAAUGCGACGUUUCUGUUUAAUAAAAUCCUUAUCAAACCCUUUCGUCAGCAAGUGCUGUUCAACCUCUGUUUUUGUUAUGUACAGUAGGCAACGACACCUACGACAUGGACAUGCCGCAGUCUGGCCUGGAUAGUUCCCUUGAAGUUCUUUCUCAAUGAAUUGCUGGAAACCGGCUUGCCACGCUUCAUCUGUAUGUGGCAAUAGCAUCCAACUCCUAUCAGCAUCGUGUGACAUCUUAAUUUACAGUUCCUGCAGCGAUGGAAAAAGAGCGACCAACUGAUUUAACACAUGCCAAACAAAUGUUUCCCUCUUCUCAAAUUAAUGAAUGUGAAUAUGUAAAUUAACCAUAUAUAUAUUGACAAACUUAUUUGGGUUGAUACUUAUUUGGGUUGAAACUCAUAGUGCUGGUAAAGAAAAAUGGACAGAGUUUCUGUUAAUUCACUCUCUCAACAGCCAGCUUUACGGGCGAUACUAUCUGAACAACCUGCUUUACCAUUGAGAGAAAUGUAUCAGUCCAGCAAAUUCAUAGACCUGGGGAGUGAUGUAGUGUUUCUUUGAGCUGAGAUUUAAGAGGUGCUAAUUCAAAGUUAAGCUGGCUACAUCUAGUCCGGUGGGUACCUGUGAAGCCCUUCUAGCGAUUCAUGAAGCCCCUUCGAUUACUCCUUCGUGAGCUGGGUUCAAAGCUAACUGCUAGUUGAGGCAAUUAAUUAAAGGUGCUAACAGCUAGUGAAGUCCUGUACGUUUCCAUAGGAUUUGAGUGGUCCGGGCAUUCUAUUCGGUUCCUGUUCCUAUGAAUUGUAAACCGAAGAGGGCUGUAAUCAUAUAUUCAAGAACAUAUAUGGAUAAUCGAUCUCAUACCUGGGCGCGCGAUUCCUGCGA